rnacentral:lncRNA from 1 species
UGGUAUUUUUGUUCUAGGAAUUUGCACCAUGUGUGGAUGGCAAUAAAAAUACGAAUACCUUAGCGGGUCAACCUUUUUUUCUGUUUGUAUUUCAGAACAAAACCUCUGUGCGUUUAUUAUACAAAGCAAAAUUCAGAAAGAAUCGGUCUGCAUUAGGCUUCAAGAGGAACAUCUUUUCCCUGACAUUCCUUGUCAUUCAGUAUUAUUCCUAUAACGCGCAGUGUUCAACAAACGAAACGAAGAGAAGGCUGAAAUCUUCACAACAUUUCGACGUCAAUCUGCGAUGAAAUCAUUCUUUACAUCGGCGUGUGCUUCUGACGUAACGACAUGUAAGGACAACUCAGAUAUGACGGAGAUCUGAGCCGAGACAGUGUCGUGUCGUGCCAUGAAAGGUUACCAGCAAGCGGUGCCCUUUGUUCCUCCUCACUGACCUGACGUGCUCUGAGAACCCUCCCCUUGUAUCCUACGUACCCGGAGACAUCUCGGUCACAGUUAUCUAGACUGGUCUGAACAGACAGAGGGACGUCUAGAUGGUCAAAGCAACGACUGGGACCUGUGCUUAUGCUGUUUUGCGAGCCACUGACUGAUCCGGGUAAAAGUUAACUUUGAUGUCGAGAGUUGUUUACACGUCAGCCGAGAGCGGCGCUAGAGCGGGAGAGACGUCAGAGCUCCUUGUGUUUUCAUUGAGUCUUCUUGGGCUUUGUAAUUGUGUGGUGAGCAGUUGGUGAGGAUGAUGAUGAUGAUAAUCGCGCUGUCAACAGGGCCGGCCGUGUCUUCUCGCUGACUGAGAUAUUCUCAUGUACAAAAUAAAACUGCUGGACUGCCAAGUCACCGGACAGAUCUAUCCUUCGUCAACGCAGAGCAGUUAAUCGAACAAGCCAUGUGCACUUAUGACGUCAUGUGUAUGAAUACUUGGAGUGCAUGACGUCACGCUUUCCUCUCCAUAGGUGGAACGUUGAUCAUCGUAGUCUGUUGCCCCGGCUAAGAGCUACGUCACAGGGAGUGAUAUAUCGCCGGAAACAGAGACGGACGAAGGCUCGCUUUGGACAUUUUGCAGACGUUGCAAUUAUAACCGUUGUCGCACGUUGAAAAAAAAAA